rnacentral:rRNA from 1 species
UACAGAGGGUGCAAGCGUUGUUCGGAAUUAUUGGGCGUAAAGCGCGUGUAGGCGGCUUUGCAAGUCGGGUGUGAAAGCCCUCAGCUCAACUGAGGAAGUGCAUCCGAAACUGGCAAGCUUGAGUACGAAAGAGGGUCGCGGAAUUCCCGGUGUAGAGGUGAAAUUCGUAGAUAUCGGGAGGAACACCGGUGGCGAAGGCGGCGACCUGGGUCGAUACUGACGCUGAGGUGCGAAAGCGUGGGGAGCAAACAGG